rnacentral:rRNA from 1 species
CCUACGGGAGGCAGCAGUGGGGAAUAUUGGGCAAUGGGCGCAAGCCUGACCCAGCAACGCCGCGUGAAGGAAGAAGGCUUUCGGGUUGUAAACCUCUUUUAAGAGGGAAGAGCAGAAGACGGUACCUCUUGAAUAAGCCACGGCUAACUACGUGCCAGCAGCCGCGGUAAUACGGAGGUGGCAAGCGUUGUCCGGAUUUACUGGGUUUAAAGGGCGUGCAGGCGGGAAGACAAGUCAGGUGUGAAAUCCCGCGGCUUAACCGCGGAAGUGCAUUUGAAACUGGUUUUCUUGAGUACCGGAGAGGUAAUCGGAAUGCGUUGUGUAGCGGUGAAAUGCGUAGAUAUAAGGAAGAACACCGGUGGCGAAGGCGGAUGACUGGACGACAACUGACGGUGAGGCGCGAAAGCGUAGGGAGCAAACGGGAUUAGAUACCCGUGUAGUC